rnacentral:rRNA from 1 species
UACGUAGGGUGCGAGCGUUGUCCGGAAUUAUUGGGCGUAAAGGGCUCGUAGGCGGUCUGUCGCGUCGGUUGUGAAAACUCAGGGCUUAACCCUGAGCCUGCUUCCGAUACGGGCAGACUAGAGGUAUGCAGGGGAGAAUGGAAUUCCUGGUGUAGCGGUGAAAUGCGCAGAUAUCAGGAGGAACACCGGUGGCGAAGGCGGUUCUCUGGGCAGUACCUGACGCUGAGGAGCGAAAGUGUGGGGAGCGAACAGG